UACGUAGGCAGCAAGCGUUGUUCGGAAUUACUGGGCGUAAAGGGUGCGUAGGCGGUUGUUUAAGUUUGGUGUGAAAUCCCCGGGCUCAACCUGGGAACUGCAUCUGUGACUGUAUAGCUAGAGUACGGUAGAGGGGGAUGGAAUUCCGCGUGUAGCAGUGAAUGCGUAGAUAUGCGGAGGAACACCGAUGGCGAAGGCAAUCCCCUGGACCUGUACUGACGCUCAUGCACGAAAGCGUGGGGAGCAAACAGG
rnacentral:rRNA from 1 species